rnacentral:rRNA from 1 species
GUAGGUGGCAAGCGUUGUCCGGAAUUAUUGGGCGUAAAGCGCGCAGGUGGUUCUUUAAGUCUGAUGUGAAAGCCCCCGGGCUCAACCGGGGAGGGUCAUUGGAAACUGGGGAACUUGAGUGCAGGAGAGGAAAGUGGAAUUCCACGUGUAGCGGUGAAAUGCGUAGAUAUGUGGAGGAACACCAGUGGCGAAGGCGACUUUCUGGCCUGUAACUGACACUGAGGCGCGAAAGCGUGGGGAGCAAACAGGAUUAGAUACCCUGGUAGUCCACGCCGUAAACGAUGAGUGCUAAGUGUUGGGGGGUUUCCGCCCCUCAGUGCUGCAGCUAACGCAUUAAGCACUCCGCCUGGGGAGUACGGUCGCAAAGACUG